GAGAAGAUCCAAACUGCUUCUAAAACACACCUGAAUCUCUAUAAACCACUUUAUACUCACGAGUGAUUCAUUGAAAACCCAAAUCAAGAACAAACAGAUUUCAACUGAAGAAAAUUUCAAAAAAUUGAACAAAUUGAAAAGCUAGGGUUCGGGAAUUACCAGCGAUGUAUCAACAAAAUCAGACGGAUCAACGACACUAUUAGCGGAAUCGAAAAAGUUAGGGUGUUGUAGAAGAGAGAGUGAGGGCUGAACGGAGAGAGAACAAGAAUGAGAUCUUAGGAGGCGAAAAUGAGAACAAGAAUGAGAACGGUGAAAAUGAAGCUGAGUUGAGCAACUUUUGAGGGAGAGGCGAAAAUGAAGUUGGUACUGCCUUAUUCUGUCACAAGCCCUGCUAAGUACCAAAUUUGGGCUUAACAUUAAUUAAC
rnacentral:lncRNA from 1 species